rnacentral:lncRNA from 1 species
AUUUGACCAAGAAGGAGAGUGAUGGAUGCUGCAUCACAUGACCUGGCCUCCACAAUCACCCAACCUCAACCCAAUUGAGAUGGUUUGGGAUGGACAGCAGAGUGAAGGAAAAGCAGCCAACAAGUGCUCAGCAUAUGUGGGAACUCCUUCAAGACUGUUGGAAAAUAAUUCCUCAUAAAACUGGUUGAGAGAAUGUCAAGAUUGUGCAAACCUGUCAUCAAGGCAAAGGAUGGCUACUUUGAAGAAUCUAAAAUAUAUUUUGAUUUAACACUUUUUUGGUUACUAGAUGAUUCCAUAUGUGUUAUUUCAUAGUGUUGAUGUUUUCACUGUUUUUCUACAAUGUAGAAAAUAGUAAAAAUAAAGAAAAACCCUUGAAUGAGUAGGUGUGUCCACACUUUUGACUGGUACAGUACGUACGGUCACUGCUGGUACGACGUCGUCGAUGCACUUAUUAAUGAGUCUAUUGACUGAUGUGGUAAACUCCUCAAUGUUAUUGGACAGAUUUCAAUCUGUGAUAGCGAAACCGUCCUGAAUCUUAGCACCGUGAAUCUUCGUCACACCGUAUUUCGGACUGAUACUUUCUGUUUGAGUUUUUGCUUGUAAGUAGGAAGCAGGAGGAUAGAGUUAUGAACUUAUUUGCCAAAGGAAUGGAGAAGCAGUACCGUAUAACUACUUGGCUCCGACCCACUCAGAGCAACAACAAAAAACAAAUAUUGAUGAACAACGUAAUAGAACAGCCCAGCCCAAAUCAUAAUUGACUGAACUAUUAUUAUGAAUAGGCCUAAGAGUAAUUAUGUCCAAUGAAGCGUACCACUUCAUAGCAUGAAUGUCAAUGAAUGUCAUUUGAUGUUUAAUGUAGCCCGCCGGCCACCACUAUAAUCACAACCACUAGCAGUAGACUACAUCAUGAUGAUGUCAAAUCAAAUCAAGUAUUAUUUGUCACAUGCGCCGAAAUACAGUGAAAUACUUACUAGCCCUUAACCAAAAAUGCUUUCAGAAGUUAAGAAAAGUAAGUGUUAAGUAACAAAUAGAUAUGUAAAAUAAAAAAAUGAAUAAAUAAAUGAAUAAAUAAAUAAUUAAUCAGCAGCAGUAAAUUAACAACCGAGGCUACAUACAGGGGGUACCAGUACAGAGUCAAUGUGGAGGCUAUAUACAGGGGGUACCGGUACAGAGUCAAUGUGGAGACUAUAUACAGGGGGUACCGGUGCAGAGUCAGUGUGGAGACUAUAUACAGGGGGUACCGGUACAGAGUCAAUGUGGAGGCUAUAUACAGGGGGUAUCGGUACAGAGUCAAUGUGGAGUCUAUAUACAGGGGGUACCGGUACAGAGUCAAUGUGGAGGCUAUAUACAGGGGGGUACCGGUACAGAGUCAAUGUGGAGUCUAUAUACAGGGGGUACCGGUACAGAGUCAGUGUGGAGACUAUAUACAGGGGGUACCGGUACAGAGUCAAUGUGGAGGCUAUAUACAGGGGGUACCGGUACAGAGUCAAUGUGGAGUCUAUAUACAGGGGGUACCGGUACAGAGUCAAUGUGGAGGCUAUAUACAGGGGGGGGUACCGGUACAGAGUCAAUGUGGAGGCUAUAUACAGGGUGUACCGGUACAGAGUCAAUGUGGAGGCUAUAUACAGGGGGUACCAGUACAGAGUCAAUGUGGAGGCUAUAUACAGGGGGUACCGGUACAGAGUCAAUGUGGAGGCUAUAUACAGUGUGUUACGGUACAGAGUCAAUGUGGAGGCUAUAUACAGGGUUUACCGGUACAGAGUCAAUGUGGAGGCUAUAUACAGGGGGUACCAGUACAGAGUCAAUGUGGAGGCUAUAUACAGGGGGUACCGGUACAGAGUCAAUGUGGAGUCUAUAUACA